UACGUAGGGGGCAAGCGUUAUCCGGAUUUACUGGGUGUAAAGGGAGCGCAGACGGCAGUGCAAGUCUGGAGUGAAAGCCCGGGGCCCAACCCCGGAACUGCUCUGGAAACUGUGCGGCUAGAGUACUGGAGGGGCAGGCGGAAUUCCUAGUGUAGCGGUGAAAUGCGUAGAUAUUAGGAGGAACACCAGUGGCGAAGGCGGCCUGCUGGACAGUAACUGACGUUGAGGCUCGAAAGCGUGGAGAGCAAACAGG
rnacentral:rRNA from 1 species